GGAGAUGGGCGCGCGCC
rnacentral:miRNA from 1 species